UUCGCGGGCAUUUUGAAUCGGCUCAGGAGUCAUCGUUUUUCAGCGAGGACAGCUGUUAUUCGGAGAAAAAAAGGAGAAGCUGAAAGAAUGGAACUUGGAUGUCCCGAUACCAAGCUUUAAAGAUGAACAAAUUGAUGAAGAAACCCUCCUGCUGCUUGAUGAAAAAU